UAAGUCGAAUCAGUGGUAUUGACGUAAAGUAUCGUAUCCUGUGUCAGAAUGCUGUCUGUGAUACUUUUAAUAUUUCUAGUGGAUCGUAGCUUUGCAAUAUAUAAAGUAAUCAAUAGUAAAUCAAGCGCAGUUGCCUUCAAAUAUAACGAUGGAGUACAGGGUGAGAGUGGUUUACACGAGUGCCAACUAGACGAAGUAUGUAGCGCAGUGCACAAAAGAUUUUGGAUGCCAACAUUGUCAGAAAGAUUUUGCCGAUGUUCAAAUGGAAUAGAAUGUCCUUGGCAGUGGGACAAAAACCCUGAUAACGUAUCAAUGACUCUUAAUAACCGAUCGCAUCUUAAGUUUUGCACCACAAAAAAGACUACUUGCACGCAUAAGCAAUUGGCUGUAACUGUAUAUGGAAAAGGCAAUUCAAGCAAUGCGUACUUGGUUCCUCACAAUGUGACUGUGAACUGUUUGUGCCCGAAGACUCACUAUUGGAAAUUGCAGAAGUAUUCUUACGAGGAAAACGAUAACAUAAUUCAAGUAUUCAGAUGUGUCAAGGACAUGAAAAUACUGCAUUAUCCUAUCAAACGAGUCUGGACACCGAACAACCAUCUUGAAGUUCCAGCUUUAAAAAUCGUUUAUAACACAGACUGCAACGGAUGUGUGAACGCUUUGAAUUUUGUGGAAACGUUAGAUCUGACUUAUACUCGGUAUACUAUCAAUGUACCUGUCCAUGGGGUCAUUUGUGCAUUUACAAAGACAAGAUGCUAGAUAACGUGCAGGAGCUACUUUACUCAGGACCGGCUUACAGAGCUUAUUGUUAUCCAUUUCCAAAACAAUAACACGGAUUACUGAUCUGUAAAAGACUGCUCACCUGUGAUGACUGUUCGCUCAUUGCCCGCAACGAAGGUAGCAGUUCGUCUUGAAACCGAUCUGGCCAAAGAACCCUUGUGACAAGUCCAGCUCUCAAUGCCUCACUGGCUGUAA